GACGAACGCUGGCGGCGUGCUUAACACAUGCAAGUCGAACGGAAAGGCCCUGCUUUUGUGGGGUGCUCGAGUGGCGAACGGGUGAGUAACACGUGAGUAACCUGCCCUUGACUUUGGGAUAACUUCAGGAAACUGGGGCUAAUACCGGAUAGGAGCUCCUGCUGCAUGGUGGGGGUUGGAAAGUUUCGGCGGUUGGGGAUGGACUCGCGGCUUAUCAGCUUGUUGGUGGGGUAGUGGCUUACCAAGGCUUCGACGGGUAGCCGGCCUGAGAGGGUGACCGGCCACAUGGGGACUGAGAUACGGACCAGACUCGUACGGGAGGCAGCAGUGGGGAAUAUUGCGCAGUGGGCGGAAGCCUGAUACAGCAACGCCGCGUGCGGGAUAACGGCCUUCGAGUUGUAAACCGCUUUCGCCUGUGACGAAGCGUGAGUGACGGUAAUGGGUAAAGAAGCACCGGCUAACUACGUG
rnacentral:rRNA from 1 species